CAAGGCAGGGUCCUGGGCUGCGUUUGGAGUGGGUUAAAAGGCAGCCCUGGGGCCUGGGCUUUUGGCCUCGACCUUAAGAUGAACAUUACACCUACGGAGGCUUGAGAGCAGGGACUUUAAGGCAUGAAGUCCCUACUCAUGCAUGAACAGCUCUUUUAACUUGGGGGUGUAUCGUUUUCAGGGUAUUGCAGGUUCCGACGGUCUUCCUGGGGAUAAAGGAGAACUGGGUCCCAGCGGCCUGGUCGGACCCAAAGGAGAGUCUGGCAGUCGAGGGGAGCUGGGCCCCAAAGGCACCCAGGGUCCCAACGGCACCAGCGGUGUUCAGGGUGUCCCCGGGCCCCCCGGUCCUCUGGGCCUGCAGGGCGUCCCGGGUGUUCCUGGCAUCACGGGGAAGCCGGGAGUUCCGGUACGUCGCUUUUCCGGCUUUUCCAGCUUUCACAGGGUUGAGAUCGUGUUUUUUCCGGAAGGAAGUUACUUUGCGGGGUGACGGUGGGAAUGCCUCACCGAGGCUGCCGCCCCCAUGCUGACGAAUGUGUGGGGUGAAUUCCAGGGGAAGGAGGCCAGCGAGCAGCGCAUCAGGGAGCUGUGUGGGGGGAUGAUCAGCGAACAAAUUGCACAGUUAGCCGCGCACCUAAGGAAGCCUUUGGCACCCGGGUCCAUUGGCCGGCCCGGUCCAGCUGGCCCCCCUGGG
rnacentral:sRNA from 1 species